UGUGGCAUGUCACAAAGGAAAAAUUCACUUGAGUAACAUAGUCCUUUCAAACGAAAGGAAAUACCAACCAAACAUAUGUGGAUUAUCAGAGGCUUGAAGAGUCCAUGAGCUAGCCACCUAACUUCAUAGGUUUUAUGUGCCUUUGCAUUGUUCUUUAAUGCAUUACAUCGAUGUGAAUGCAGUAACGUACAGUAACGCGUCAGAAGUAAAAACUAAAAACUAGCGAUUACAUAAGAAUUCAAUUCGUAAAUUAUCAACAGCGUAGCAAUUUCUACAAGUGCUCAGUGAAUAUUAAGCAACAACAUAAUAUAAGCAGUCGUCGUUAAGGAUACUUGAUAAAAUGAAUAUUGAAAAGGGCGCAAUAGGGCACGGAAAUAUGCAAAAUAUAGGUUUUGAGUCUCUUGAGGAUAAAGAAAUUAUUCUAAAAUUAUUGAAGAAAUAUGGUAAUUACCUGAAUACCUCCAAAACGGAAACUCAUGAGAGGUAUAAAUUUUUCUCAAGGACAAUGAACGACAAUGAAAGCAUUGAAGAUUUCAUUGCUGAUUUACGACAAAAAGCCAAAACAUGCAAUUUUCAAUCUCUUGCGGACAAUUUUGUCCGGGAUAAAAUUAUUUUCGAUACCAAAGACGAAAUAUUACGACAGUUUUUAUUGGAUACAGAAGAUAUUGAUUUGGAAAAAAUUAUAACAAUUUACAAAAUUUAUGAAAAGACAAGGGGAAAAAUGAAUGAAGUUUGCAAAGACAAAGUAAUUCAAGGCAGAAAUACAAAUAUUACUCCAGCAAUAAAAAGUGCACAAAUAACAUGUUCAAAUUGCGGCACUCAUCACGUUUACGGUAACUGCCCUGCGUUUCAUUCGAGAUGUAUGAAAUGCAAUGGACUUCGGCAUUACACCAAAAUGUGUAAUAGACAUUGGGCACGUAAAAAUUACAAACGCAAUAAGUCUGGCAGCAAUGCUGGUGGUCCAUUCUCGCAAAUUAAAAAGAACAGGAAGGUAAUGAGUGGUGGAGAAUCUUCAAACGAAUAUUUAUAUCGUUUGUCUUUGAUUGUAUUCGCGUUAACAAUAAAUAUUUUGUUGGUGAUAAUGCAGGGGAUAAAAUUUGGACUACCUCAAAUAAAAAACAAGAGUAUUUACCGGGCGAUCGAUUCCCACAUCGUAUACCACCACCAAAAUACACAGAACAUCCUGUUCCAACAAAAGCUUACAAUUCUGGAUCUGUAGAGCCAUCUACUAGUCAGGAAAAACCUGUGUACAACUUGCAGAAUAAUGUUAUAGAAACUUCUAAUAAUAUAUAUGCAACAUCUCAAUCUUCCAGUAAGACAACACAUCUUCCGAGAUCUAUGCAAAACGCAUCUACUGUACGUUCUGGUACAAAGUCAACACCAUCUUCAGUUUCUGAUAAUGCUGCGGCAAGAAAGAAUGCGCAAAUGGAAGGAUCACGAAAUGUUAAUCUUCGUCGUACGAAAUCAUCGUCUAGUGUCAAAAGCUUUCCAGUACGUAAUAACAGAGAAGCAGAUGACGACUUUGCAGUCAAAUGCUGCAGUUGCUUCAUAUGUUGAAAAUCAUGCAGACACUAG